GGAAAGCGAAGGAGAAGUCGUAAAUUGAUUAGUAUUUGAAAUUGGAAGUUGGUUGACAGAAAAGGAAAUGAAGAGGAAAAAAAAACUCAAUGUUUGAAUACUUUUGAAAUUUGAUUUGAUUGCAGAGGAAAUGAAGUGAAAUUUAUAGUUUGUUCAGGAUUUAAAAUUUGAAAUUUAGUAUGUAAUAGUAAACAAAAAAGGAAAAAAAUGGCAAUUAGAUCAUUUUUCUUAGGAGUGAAGUAGCUUUUUAAUUUUUUGGGUGUAUUUAAAUUGGG
rnacentral:misc_RNA from 1 species